rnacentral:rRNA from 1 species
ACGGUACCUCCACAAGAAGCCCCGGCCAACUACGUGCCAGCAGCCGCGGUAAUACGUAGGGGGCGAGCGUUGUCCGGAUUUAUUGGGCGUAAAGAGCUCGUAGGCGGUUCAACAAGUCGGUCGUGAAAGUUCAGGGCUCAACCCUGAAAUGCGAUCGAUACUGUUGGACUAGGAUACGGUAGAGGUGAGUGGAAUUCCGAGUGUAGCGGUGAAAUGCGUAGAUAUUCGGAGGAACACCAACUGCGAAGGCAGCUCACUGGACCGCUAUCGACGCUGAGGAGCGAAAGCUAGGGGAGCAAACAGGAUU